GGUUGUCCAGCUAUCCCCUCCAUGUAUUUAGGGGCUCUGAGCUCUCGCCACCCAAUUUGUCUGGGCAAACUCCCAGGGAUCAUGGAAACCAGGAAACCAGUAAAAGGCAAUAAUUAGAAAUACUCACAAACCACAGGUUUUGGAAACAAGCUACUUCUCAAGGAUCAUCAGACGCCAGCCUACACCAGGAAGGAGCUCAGGAACACAUGACUUUCAUGACACAAAACUGGAUCUGCCACCCUCUAUUUCAUCAAAACCUGGCUCUGUGGGCACACCCUGGACUUUGGACUUCAGAUGCCAGGCUUCCAGUUCUCUUGAGUGGAACACAGUGUGGAGCUCUUGGCGAAAAAAAAAGAAAGUGGAAUCUGCUUUUACAUGUAUGAAGGGAGCUCUCCUUGUUUGUUCUGGCCGGUGUUUACAUCCCACCACAAGCCUGCAUAUCAGAGGCGGAAAAACACCUCGCCCAGCCGAUAACAGACGUGAAGAAAAAAAUCCCUCUCCCAUCGUUGUUCUUAAGGAUUUUCACAGCACAAACCUCUCCAAUGAACCUCCAAGAUACAUACAGCAUAUUAAGUGUCCCACCAAGGAUAAAAACAUUCUGGACCAUUGUUUCACAGCUUUAAAAGAUGGGUAUCGGGUUGUCACUACUUUGUGACUUUCUGAUCACUGUCUGCUUCCCCUAAUUAACAUUAACAUUGUGCAGACCAAUAACAUUUGCAAAUACAACAGCAA